AGAGUUUGAUCAUGGCUCAGAACGAACGCUGGCGGCGUGGAUAAGACAUGCAAGUCGAACGCCCUUUUCAGGGUAGCAAUAUUCUGGAGAGGGAGUGGCGUAAGGGUGCGUAACACGUGGGUAAUUUGCCGCGAAGUUGGGAAUAACUCGCUGAAAGGCGAGCUAAUGCCGAAUGUGGUGUUUGAGGGACAUCCCUUGACCACUAAAGUUGGGGACCGUAAGGCCUGACGCUUCGCGAUAAGCCCGCGGCCUAUCAGCUAGUUGGUGAGGCAACGGCUCACCAAGGCUAAGACGGGUAGCUGGUCUGAGAGGACGACCAGCCACACUGGAACUGAGACACGGUCCAGACACCUACGGGUGGCAGCAGUCGAGAAUUUUUCACAAUGGGCGAAAGCCUGAUGGAGCGACGCCGCGUGGGGGAUGAAUGGCUUCGGCCCGUAAACCCCUGUCAUUUGCGAUCAAACCUUUCCCGCUAACACCGGGAAAGCUGAUAGUAGCGAAAGAGGAAGGGACGGCUAACUCUGUGCCAGCAGCCGCGGUAAUACAGAGGUCCCAAGCGUUGUUCGGAUUCACUGGGCGUAAAGGGUGCGUAGGUGGUAGGGUAAGUUCGGUGUGAAAUCUCUGGGCCCAACCCAGAAACUGCAUUGAAUACUAUCCUGCUAGAGGCUUGGAAGGGGGACUGGAAUUCUCGGUGUAGCAGUGAAAUGCGUAGAUAUCGAGAGGAACACCAGUGGCGAAGGCGAGUCCCUGGACAACACCUGACACUGAGGCACGAAAGCUAGGGGAGCAAACAGGAUUAGAUACCCUGGUAGUCC
rnacentral:rRNA from 1 species